ACUGCCCCUAGAAGCUCUGCAGGUGUGGCUGCUGUGUGCAUCAGGGGGCGGCAGAGAGGAGAGAAGCUACAGAUAUAAGCUCAGUGUUCUGACCUGCAAACAUCUGAAUGAUAAGUAGCCUAACAUU